rnacentral:rRNA from 1 species
UUAGUCUUUUAAUUGGGGACUGGUAUGAAGGAGUAAACCGGGAGAGAUUAUUUUGAAUUAAAAAGAUGAAUUUCACCUUUUAGUAAGAAGGCUAAAAUUUUUCUUUUAGACGAGAAGACCCUAUAAAACUUUAUAUUUUAAACUUUUUGGAGAAGUUGAAAAAUAUUUCACUGGGGUGGUGUAGAAAAGAACUUUCUUUAAUUUAUAAAACGUACUUGUUUAGAAUACCUAGAAAUUCUAAAGAAGAAAUAAGUUACUUUAGGGAUAACAGCUUAAUUUAUUUUGAAAGAUCAAAUUGACAAAUAAGUUUAUGACCUCGAUGUUGAAUUAAGAUACCUUUUUAAUGUAAAA